GAAAUGCGAUACUUGGUGUGAAUUGCAGAAUCCCGCGAACCAUCGAGUCUUUGAACGCAAGUUGCGCCCGAAGCCAUUAGGUUGAGGGCACGCCUGCCUGGGCGUCUCACGUUGCGUCGCCCGCGCCCCCUCCUCCCGCGAAGGGGGGAAGAAGGGCUGCGGGCGGAUGUUGGCCCCCGCGCGCGCCCCCGCGCGCGCCCGCGUGCGGUCGGCCCAAAAGCGAGUCCCCCGCGACCGACGACGCGUCGCGACGAGUGGUGGUUGACAAACCGUUGCGUCGCCUCGCGCGCGUCCGGUCCGUCACGGGAGGCCUGUCGCGACCCUAUCGCGCCGCCGCCAAGGCGCUCCGAUCGCGACCCCAGGUUAGGCGGGAUUACCCGCUGAGUUUAA
rnacentral:misc_RNA from 1 species